AAAAGUUCAUUUAAAAAAAUGGUAGGUAGUCGACGUCUGUACUAUCAUCAACGAUGGCUGUCCGGCAGCGGCAGUCGAUGGUGGGUGGAGCGGAGGCAAAAAGGAGGGGGAAAAAAAUAAAAUUGCCCCAACUAGGUUUUGAACCAUGACCCCAAGGUUCAAUUCUUUUGUAAUUUAUUUUACGUGUUGUAAUUGUUAGGUCAAUGGAACCCAACCAAGAUUUUUCUAUUUUGCUUAUGUUUAAUGUA
rnacentral:lncRNA from 1 species